CCUACGGGUGGCUGCAGUGGGGAAUAUUGGACAAUGGGCGAAAGCCUGAUCCAGCCAUGCCGCGUGUGUGAAGAAGGUCUUCGGAUUGUAAAGCACUUUAAGUUGGGAGGAAGGGCAGUAACCUAAUACGUUAUUGUUUUGACGUUACCGACAGAAUAAGCACCGGCUAACUCUGUGCCAGCAGCCGCGGUAAUACAGAGGGUGCAAGCGUUAAUCGGAAUUACUGGGCGUAAAGCGCGCGUAGGUGGUUUGUUAAGUUGAAUGUGAAAUCCCCGGGCUCAACCUGGGAACUGCAUCCAAAACUGGCAAGCUAGAGUAGGGCAGAGGGUGGUGGAAUUUCCUGUGUAGCGGUGAAAUGCGUAGAUAUAGGAAGGAACACCAGUGGCGAAGGCGACCACCUGGGCUCAUACUGACACUGAGGUGCGAAAGCGUGGGGAGCAAACAGGAUUAGAUACCCCGGUAGUC
rnacentral:rRNA from 1 species